CCUGGUGGCUCAGAGGUUUAAGCAUCUGCUUGCAAUGCGGGAGACCCAGGUUUGAUUCCUGGGUCAGGA
rnacentral:tRNA from 1 species